rnacentral:rRNA from 1 species
UACGAAGGGGGCUAGCGUUGCUCGGAAUCACUGGGCGUAAAGGGCGCGUAGGCGGACUUUUAAGUCGGGGGUGAAAGCCCAGGGCUCAACCCUGGAAUUGCCUUCGAUACUGAGAGUCUUGAGUUCGGAAAGAGGUUGGUGGAACUGCGAGUGUAGAGGUGAAAUUCGUAGAUAUUCGCAAGAACACCAGUGGCGAAGGCGGCCAACUGGUCCGAUACUGACGCUGAG